AUGAUAUUAGUAUAAAUAGUACAUUUACCUUCCAAGUAAAAAGUUUGAUUUAAAUAUCAUA
rnacentral:tRNA from 1 species